rnacentral:rRNA from 1 species
GGGGGGGGGGGGGGGGGGGGGUGGGGGGGGGGGGGCGGACGGGGGGGGCCGGGGUGGGGGGGGGGCGGGGGGGGCGGGCGGGUGCGGCGCGCGUGAGGGACCGGCGCUUGGCGUGGGGGUAGCUUGAGGAAACUGGUGCUAAUGCCGGGUAGUAGCUCCUGCUGCGUGGCGGGGGUUGUGGAUUGUCGGCGGUUGGGGAUGGACUCGCGGCUGACCAGCUUGUUGGUGGGGUAGUGGCGUACCAAGGCUUUGACGGCUAGCCGGCCUGAGAGGGGGACCGGACACAUUGGGACUGAGAUACGGACCAGACUCCUACGGGAGGCAGCAGUGGGGAAUAUUGCACAAUGGGCGGAAGCCUGAUGCAGCAACGCCGCGUGCGGGAUGACGGCCUGCGGGUUGUAAACCGCUUUCGCCUGUGACGAAGCGUGAGUGACGGUAAUGGGUAAAGAAGCACCGGCUAACUACGUG